CCUACGGGGGGCUGCAGUCGAGAAUCAUUCACAAUGGGGGAAACCCUGAUGGUGCGACGCCGCGUGGGGGAAUGAAGGUCUUCGGAUUGUAAACCCCUGUCAUGUGGGAGCAAAUUAAAAAGAUAGUACCACAAGAGGAAGAGACGGCUAACUCUGUGCCAGCAGCCGCGGUAAUACAGAGGUCUCAAGCGUUGUUCGGAAUCACUGGGCGUAAAGCGUGCGUAGGCUGUUUCGUAAGUCGUGUGUGAAAGGCGCGGGCUCAACCCGCGGACGGCACAUGAUACUGCGAGACUAGAGUAGUGGAGGGGGAACCGGAAUUCUCGGUGUAGCAGUGAAAUGCGUAGAUAUCGAGAGGAACACUCGUGGCGAAGGCGGGUUCCUGGACAUUAACUGACGCUGAGGCACGAAGGCCAGGGGAGCGAAAGGGAUUAGAUACCCGAGUAGUC
rnacentral:rRNA from 1 species